AGUGAACGCUGGCGGCAGGCCUAAUACAUGCAAGUCGAACGGCAGCACAGCAGAGCUUGCUCUGUGGGUGGCGAGUGGCGGACGGGUGAGGAAUACGUGGGAAUCUGCCCAGUCGUGGGGAUAACGUAGGGAAACUUACGCUAAUACCGCAUGCGCCCUUCGGGGGAAAGCCGGGGAUCUUCGGGCCUGGCGCGAUUGGAUGAGCCACGUCGGAUUAACUAGUUGGCGGGGUAAAGGCCCACCAAGGCGACGAUCCGUAGCUGGUCUGAGAGGAUGAUCAGCCACACUGGAACUGAGACACGGUCCAGACUCCUACGGGAGGCAGCAGUAGGGAAUAUUGGACAAUGGGCGCAAGCCUGAUCCAGCCAUGCCGCGUGAGUGAAGAAGGCCCUCGGGUUGUAAGGCUC
rnacentral:rRNA from 1 species